CACUCCGUUAGGUGAGGUUCCUGUAUGAACACAGGCCACUGCCCGGAAACGUCGAAAGACGCCAAUGGGUAGAGCAGGUAUGAUCGACUUAAGGUCUUACAUAAUGUGGCUGAAUCGCAAGGUUCUACGUUAUACAGUGCUAAAGCUUGGACGACUGGA
rnacentral:sRNA from 1 species